rnacentral:rRNA from 1 species
ACGGGAGGCAGCAGUGGGGGAUAUUGCACAAUGGGGGAAACCCUGAUGCAGCGACGCCGCGUGAGUGAUGAAGUGUUUCGGUAUGUAAAGCUCUAUCAGCAGGAAAGAUAAUGACGGUACCUGACUAAGAAGCACCGGCUAAAUACGUGCCAGCAGCCGCGGUAGUACGUAUGGUGCAAGCGUUAUCCGGAUUUACUGGGUGUAAAGGGAGCGCAGGCGGGACAGCAAGUUGGAUGUGAAAUACCGAGGCUUAACCACGGAGCUGCAUCCAAAACUGUUGUUCUUGAGUGAAGUAGAGGUAGGCGGAAUUCCGAGUGUAGCGGUGAAAUGCGUAGAUAUUCGGAGGAACACCAGUGGCGAAGGCGGCCUACUGGGCUUUAACUGACGCUGAGGCUCGAAAGUGUGGGGAGCAAACAGGAUUAGAUACCCUGGUA